ensembl:lncRNA
GAAGGGAGGAAGAGAGGGAGGGAGAGGAGGGAGGGAGGAAAGGAAGGAGGGGAAGGGAGAAGGGAGGGGGCACGAGGGAGGGGUGUGAUCAGAGUAGAUUUUCCCUCGCCUCCCUCGGUCCGAGGCCCAAAUAUACACAAGCGAGCCUCCUCGCCUCCCCUCCCCCCUAGGUUCCCAGCACCACCAUUUUGCUCUCUUCCUUCCCCUCGCCGCGAUGCCGCGCUCUCCCCCACCCCAACCGCGGCCGCCCGGCCUUCCCCACUACGGCUCGCACCCCACCCCACCUCCAGUUCGGGCUCUCCCAGGCUUAAGAGCCUGCCGGAGAAAAGGCACCUAAAUCUAACACUACACCGAGAAGCAGAGCCUCCAUCUUGCGCUGCUCCGCGUUCUCCAUUUUGGGCCACCCAUGGGGGGGGUCUCCGUAGAGGCCCCGAGGGAGAGUGGGGCGAGGGAAGGAAGAGAAAACCUUCAGCGAGGGUAGUCGAAAAGAAGAGUCCUGCGGUAGAAAGCCACUCUAGGAGUAGGAGGGACACAGCCUUCACUGAAUGGCCAAAUCUCCAUGGAAGCAAAAUCAAAACUUGGUAUGACUAUCUGGAAAUUUCAAGGAAAAAACUGCUUUCUGCUUAAAUCAUUUCAGAAAUAGUAGCCAAAAUAACUCAUUCCUUCAGCAACUAAUACUUUCAUCACUUAAUGCUGCCACUGAUCCUAGCUAUUUGUAUUAAGUAGUUAAACAUGUCAUAGGAUUUGUUUACGUAGACAGAUGACAUUUGCCUUAUUGUUUUGAGCGCCAACAUUUAAUAAACAACAACAAAAAAGACAUCAUGGCACAGGCAGACCUAUCAACUCAAACUUAUGGAUUACUUUGAAGGUCCUAUUGUGAUGCAGGAUUUUUCAGUAUGUUCAAGAGACAUUUAUCAUUUCAAAUCCAUACACAUUUAAUGGUUACAUUAUUUUUCAUUUUGUUUGUUGCCGUUGUGGAACUGUUGCUGGGUAUUCACUUGUAUAGAAAUAGCAAUUUUUGGAAGCAGUAACAUUGUUGUUAGCAGAACAACACACCAACACAGCCACCCCAAAUAAACAUUUUUAGCUAUUUCCCUAUAUUGCGGAAAGUGAUUUGGUUAAAUUUAGCAUUGUCCAGGGACUUCCCUAGUGGUCCAGUGGCUAAGACUCCGUGCUCCCAAUGCAGGGGGCCCGAGAUUGAUCCCUGGUCAGGGAACUAGAUCCCACAUGCUGCAACUAAAGAUCCCUAAAGAUCCCGCGAGCCACAACUAAGACCCAGCGCAGCCAAAUAAAUAUUUAAAAUAAAUAAACAAAUGAAUAAAUUUAGCAUUGCCCAGAGCCUCCAAUAAGACUCUUUUUUAUUGGCAUGCAUGCAAAUUUGUAAAGCCAAAGUCAUAUUAGUAACUAAGAGGGACACUAACUUUAAUAGCAACAAAGACGACUCCUUGAAUUUAAGUGCACUAGUAACUACGAAUAUUAAGUAAAAUUCAAAUUCUAGAACCACUGUCAACAUUUGAUGUCUAUCUUUGGUAGCAAGUUUACUGUUAUAUGCUGAUAGCACUUCUAAUGUUAGACUCUAGAAAUUAAUGCUAGAACUGCUUGUGGAAAGAUUAAGAGGUGUGAAGAAAGGAUGAAGGGAGAUUUGCAAAGUGGAAGAGGGCUAGAGAUAGAAACUUCGGAGAAAAUACAUUUUAUCCCCAAAAUAUAGACAAUACUGGAUUAGAUUCUGGACCAAACCUUUUUUUUUUUUCUUUUUAAGCUAUAAAGGGCAUUAUUG